rnacentral:sRNA from 1 species
CCAUCAUGACUUAAUAAACCUAUAAAAGCAUAUGUCUUUAACAAUAAAUUUAUCCAUGUUGGAAUAAUCAUUAUCAUU